CUCUUUUUUGUCUCUGUCCUAAUGGUUUUUGCGUGUUCCAAAAGUUGACUUUAUUUUCAAAAAUUAUAUUUACCUUUUUAUCGAUUCGCUCUCGUUCAGGAAACAUAUCGAAUUAUUGAUGACAAUGAACAUUGAACAAUGAUCAAGGUGCGCGUAAGUUGUUUGAUUUAAUUGAUUUAUACCAAAUUUAACCGUCUGAAAGCUGCGCAAAUUGUGAAAUUAUUACCGCGAAUGUGGAUAUUUCCGGAAUGUGUAUGUUGGAAAAACUGGAACACCUCGUUUUUGUCAUGGAGAUUUCAGUUAUGUUUUUUAUUUGACACGGAAGAUAAAGCGGGGAAAACGAGAAAUUCAAACCGACAACAAUACCAGGAACGCACCUGCGCCUUUCUGCGUGACACACAGUGAGGCAAACUAUAAUUCGGGAAGUAAAAACAAUACGACAAAGUUAAACUUUUUAAAAAUUGUUUCGAAACGUAACACAUUUUUUAUUAGCCUUGCUGGCAUUUCCGUCAGCAAAGAUGGAUGUUAACCUCAACAACUGUGUAUUACAACAAUGUAUUGUGGAGGUUGUGCGGGUUUUUCAGAUGGUUUACGUGCCAAAGAAACAAAAAGGAGCUUCGUAAUAAAAGUGAAAUCAAUGCCAUACGUGCCCUGCAUUAAUGUCUCGUCCUCUGUGAAUAUUUGAAUGUAAACAAAUAACAACCGCAAGUUCAUUUUCUUCUUGUUAUGAUCGUUAUGAUGGGCGCCUGGCUUCUUGAAUUCUCUUGGCGUAUAUAGGAAGAGUCCCUAAAACCCGACUUUGGGUCGGUGGAACAAUGCCAAACUAAACUCUCUUUUACAGAUCGACUGCGUCUGCUCCCUGGCCGUUUAUGUAGUUGUUGUAGAUGGCUAUGGUACUGUGUGUACGUAGUCUGUAUGCAAUCCAAUCGUUCGUAGAUGCAUUCAAAUUUGCCAAGGAAUCUUUUGGAUGUCACUAGGUACCUACAAUUUUGUCCACUAGAUGCCGUAGUCUUCGUCGGUGACUGGGUGGGAACUGGCAGAACAAAGAACGUUUGUUACUUUCUGAGAUAUCGAGCGAAAACUUUUACUCGUUACGGACUUACGUUGUACUUUGACAUUUCCCAGCAUCAAAAUUAAAAAGAUAAUCUAGCCAAUUUCGAAUUGGGCCAAAUCAUCUGAUCACGUGGCCUGAAACUGCUGUUCAUGUUGCUGAAAUGUCCCUUGCUGUGCUACCUGAUCUGCCGUAUGUUUCAUCCAAAUCCCAAUCAGAAACACUCGACAGCAAUUAAAGUGAACAAUUGUGAGUUGAAGAAAAGUUGUAUGGAGGUGGAUCACAGUUAUUGGAGUAAAAUGUUGGAUUGGGUACAGGUACAGAAGAUGAACAAAGGGAGGAGAGUAUUCAUUAUUCCCAGUUCCAGUAAUAGGAAGAAUAGUCUCGUUGCUGUGGAUGCUGUUCCGGCGACCCCAUUCGGAUUGAAGUGGUGAUUGUGGAGGUGUAGACUCGGGACGUCGAGUAGUUGGGUUGGCACCAGCGAUGGGACAACUGUAGGAUCGAAAUAGAAUCCAGCAGGAGUCGGAAGGAUUUUAGGCGAUGAUCGAUGAUGUUGGCGAUUUGUUUCGCGAGUAGGAGGCGCAGCUCUUGAUGAUCCAAGUUGACGGGCACGUCGACGGAGAUUCUGAAACCACCACUGAUGAAUCAAGAGGAAAAAUUAAUUUCUGAGACGUUAAUUAACUGGGCGAUGUGGCGGCGACCUUCUCGAUUUGAAAACGAAUUCCUGGAGAACUCUCCGUCCAGUAGCUCAAGCUGGAACUCGUCGUAAAAGUGGCGCUGGCGAACUGAUCGGGAAGAUUUUGAAGUGGAACCAACUGCAUAAUAAUCUUAUGGAUUCAAUUAAUAUUCGGAGGUUGAGCUGUUUGAAAUUUUGAAAUUUGAAAAUUUGGAAGCAAUCCAGCCGUUCAUUCAUUCGUGGUUCGCGGAUGCUGUGAGGAA
rnacentral:lncRNA from 1 species